UACGUAGGGGGCUAGCGUUGUCCGGAAUCAUUGGGCGUAAAGCGCGCGUAGGCGGCCAGAUAAGUCCGGUGUGAAAGUCAUAGGCUCAACCUGUGAAUGCCGCUGGAAACUGUCUGGCUAGAGUCCGGAAGGGGCGAGUGGAAUUCCUGGUGUAGCGGUGAAAUGCGCAGAUAUCAGGAGGAACACCAAUGGCGAAGGCAGCUCGCUGGGACGGUACUGACGCUGAGGUGCGAAAGCGUGGGGAGCAAACAGG
rnacentral:rRNA from 1 species